GUGGAAGCAUGGCGACAUGUGGAGCUGACUGAUACUAAUCGAUCGAGGACUUAACCACA
rnacentral:rRNA from 1 species